rnacentral:rRNA from 1 species
GUGCAAUGGCAUAAGCCAGCUUGACUGCGAGCGUGACGGCGCGAGCAGGUGCGAAAGCAGGUCAUAGUGAUCCGGUGGUUCUGAAUGGAAGGGCCAUCGCUCAACGGAUAAAAGGUACUCCGGGGAUAACAGGCUGAUACCGCCCAAGAGUUCAUAUCGACGGCGGUGUUUGGCACCUCGAUGUCGGCUCAUCACAUCCUGGGGCUGAAGUAGGUCCCAAGGGUAUGGCUGUUCGCCAUUUAAAGUGGUACGCGAGCUGGGUUUAGAACGUCGUGAGACAGUUCGGUCCCUAUCUGCCGUGGGCGCUGGAGAACUGAGGGGGGCUGCUCCUAGUACGAGAGGACCGGAGUGGACGCAUCACUGGUGUUCGGGUUGUCAUGCCAAUGGCACUGCCCGGUAGCUAAAUGCGGAAGAGAUAAGUGCUGAAAGCAUCUAAGCACGAAACUUGCCCCGAGAUGA